ACAGGAUUAAAAUAAAUAGCUAAAUAUGAGUAAAAUAAUAUAUUAUUGUAAGAGUAUUAAAUUUCAGCCAAAAUAAUGCACUGUUAUGUCCUUCCACAUGGUGAGAUAAAACAUUUAAGGUAAAGCAAUAAAACAUUAAAGGAAAGCUUAUGUUUAAGAUAAAAUGUUAACUUGGUCUUUCAUUUAGUUUUAUUUAAAUGUCCUCUUUGUUUAUAGGUUAAGGCUUAACAAGGUUGUUGAGUGCCAUGUUUUAAAGGAUUCUCUGUCAUGUUCUAAGUCUCUGGUUAAGGUAUAUUCUAACAAGUGCAAUCAAUAUGUGCAGGCGAAGAAUGUCCACCUUAAAAGAGAAGCCAUCAUAAAAGCUCUUUGUCCGCCCCUGAAUGAUGAUGAUGGAUUUCUUAUCAAGGAGUACAGGGACAUUCAUGGUGAAGACAUAUUGAGAGACCAGCACAGCACUGAAAUGGGCAUUUAUGUCAUCAGAAGAGGGUGGAACCCUUGGAGAGUAUGAAGACAUUGACGCUGAUGGAAAUGUUAUUGUAGGAAACAUCAAAUCAGUUGCACCAGACUGCAGUAAUGCUUGGAGUAAUCUAUACACUGAAUAUUGGUCAUCACAAUGGGUGGAAAUAAUGCUAUGAAUUUGUACAUUCCUCAUGCCAAAGGAUGGUGCAAAGCUCUCCCCUAAUAUUCUUGGUUUGGAGAACAAAAUCUUGGGAUAGUCAAAAUAGGCUGUCCGUUAUGGAAAUAUAUGGAACUUUUCACACUAGCUUCUGCUUUGAUUGAAAAGCAAUGGGCUUUUGAACGACGCUUACGUCACAAACAAGUAUGGCUGUAUUUGUCAACAUCUCUUUUAAAAUUCAAUGACAUUUCAAUAAUUUUCUAUACAACAUGUCAAGA